GACGAACGCUGGCGGCGUGCUUAACACAUGCAAGUCGAACGGAAAGGCCCUGCUUUUGUGGGGUUCUCGAGUGGCGAACGGGUGAGUAACACGUGAGUAACCUGCCCUUGACUUUGGGAUAACUUCAGGAAACUGGGGCUAAUACCGGAUAGGAGCUCCUGCUGCAUGGUGGGGGUUGGAAAGUUUCGGCGGUUGGGGAUGGACUCGCGGCUUAUCAGCUUGUUGGUGGGGUAGUUGCUUACCAAGGCUUAGACGGGUAGCCGACCUGAGAGGGUGGCCGGCCACAAUGGGACUGAGAUACGGCCCAGACUCCUACGUGAGGCAGCAGUGGGGAAUAUUGCACAAUAGGCGGAAGCCUGAUGCAGCAACGCCGCGUGCGGGAUGACGGCCUUCGGGUUGUAAACCGCUUUCGCCUGUGACGAAGCGUGAGUGACGGUAAUGGGUAAAGAAGCACCGGCUAACUACGUG
rnacentral:rRNA from 1 species